rnacentral:rRNA from 1 species
AUAAGCCUACGGGAGGCAGCAGUAGGGAAUCUUCCACAAUGGGCGAAAGCCUGAUGGAGCAACGCCGCGUGGGUGAAGAAGGUCUUCGGAUCGUAAAACCCUGUUGUUAGAGAAGAAAGUGCGUGAGAGUAACUGUUCACGUUUCGACGGUAUCUAACCAGAAAGCCACGGCUAACUACGUGCCAGCAGCCGCGGUAAUACGUAGGUGGCAAGCGUUAUCCGGAUUUAUUGGGCGUAAAGAGACCGCAGGCGGUCUUUUAAGUCUGAUGUGAAAGCCUUAGGCUUAACCGGAGUAGUGAAUUGGA